UGAGGAAUAUUGGUCAAUGGGCGCAAGCCUGAACCAGCCAUCCCGCGUGAAGGAAGAAGGCGCUAUGCGUCGUAAACUUCUUUUCCGGAGGAAUAAAAUCCUGUACGCGUACAGGACUGAAGGUACUCCGGGAAUAAGCAUCGGCUAACUCCGUGCCAGCAGCCGCGGUAAUACGGAGGAUGCAAGCGUUAUCCGGAUUUAUUGGGUUUAAAGGGUGCGUAGGCGGAUUAAUAAGUCAGCGGUGAAAACCUUCAGCUUAACUGGAGACUUGCCAUUGAUACUGUUAGUCUUGAGUAUGGUUAAGGUAGGCGGAAUGUGUAAUGUAGCGGUGAAAUGCUUAGAUAUUACACAGAACACCAAUUGCGAAGGCAGCUUACUGAGCCAUAACUGACGCUGAUGCACGAAAGCGUGGGGAGCGAACAGG
rnacentral:rRNA from 1 species